rnacentral:rRNA from 1 species
UACAGAGGGUGCAAGCGUUAAUCGGAAUUACUGGGCGUAAAGCGUGCGUAGUCGGUUAUCUAAGUCGGAUGUGAAAUCCCCGGGCUCAACCUGGGAAUUGCAUUCGAUACUGGAUAGCUAGAGUUCGGCAGAGGGAAGUGGAAUUUCGGGUGUAGCGGUGAAAUGCGUAGAUAUCCGAAGGAACAUCAGUGGCGAAAGCGACUUCCUGGACCAGAACUGACGAUCAGGCACGAAAGCGUGGGGGAGCAAACAGG